rnacentral:rRNA from 1 species
UUUCUAAAUUUAUAAUAGAAUUUUAUUUUUUAGUCAAAAAGCUAAAAUAAAAUUAAAAGACGAGAAGACCCUAUAAAUCUUUAUAUAUAGAUUAUUAGAAUUUUGUAGAUUAUUUUUGUUAUAAUAAUUAAUUAUAUUUUAUUGGGGUGAUAUUAAAAUUUAAUAAACUUUUAAUUUUUGAAAUCAUUAAUUUAUGAAUAGUUGAUCCGUUAAUAACGAUUAAAAAAAUAAGUUACCUUAGGGAUAACAG